rnacentral:rRNA from 1 species
CCUUAGUUACCAGCACGUUAUGGUGGGCACUCUAAGGAGACUGCCGGUGACAACCGGAGGAAGGUGGGGAUGACGUCAAGUCAUCAUGGCCCUUACGGCCUGGGCUACACACGUGCUACAAUGGUCGGUACAAAGGGUUGCCAAGCCGCGAGGUGGAGCUAAUCCCAUAAAACCGAUCGUAGUCCGGAUCGCAGUCUGCAGCUCGACUGCGUGAAGUCGGAAUCGCUAGUAAUCGUGAAUCAGAAUGUCACGGUGAAUACGUUCCCGGGCCUU